rnacentral:rRNA from 1 species
AGUGAACGCUGGCGGUAGGCCUAACACAUGCAAGUCGAACGGCAGCACAGUAAGAGCUUGCUCUUACGGGUGGCGAGUGGCGGACGGGUGAGGAAUACAUCGGAAUCUACUUUUUCGUGGGGGAUAACGUAGGGAAACUUACGCUAAUACCGCAUACGACCUACGGGUGAAAGCAGGGGAUCUUCGGACCUUGCGCGAUUGAAUGAGCCGAUGUCGGAUUAGCUAGUUGGCGGGGUAAAGGCCCACCAAGGCGACGAUCCGUAGCUGGUCUGAGAGGAUGAUCAGCCACACUGGAACGGGGAAACGGUCCAGACUCCUACGGGAGGCAGCAGUGGGGAAUAUUGGACAAUGGGCGCAAGCCUGAUCCAGCCAUACCGCGUGGGUGAAGAAGGCCUUCGGGUUGUAAAGCCCUUUUGUUGGGAAAGAAAAGCAGCAGGUUAAUACCCCGCUGUUCUGACGGUACCCAAAGAAUAAGCACCGGCUAACUUCGUG